rnacentral:rRNA from 1 species
GACGAACGCUGGCGGCGUGCUUAACACAUGCAAGUCGAACGAAGUGGCGAACGGGUGAGUAACGCGUAAUCAACAUGCCCUUCAGAGGGGGAAAACAGUUGGAAACGACUGCUAAUACCGCAUACUGAAGGUGGGGAUUGCGUUUGAUGAGCUAGUUGGAGGGGUAACGGCCCACCAAGGCGAUCAUCAGUAGCCGGUCUUGAAGGAUGAACGGCCACAUUGGGACUGAGGCACGGCCCAGAACCCUACGGGAAGCAGCCGUGGGGAAGCUUCCGCCAUGGGCGAAAGGCUGACGGAGCAACUGCGCGUGAGGGAUGACGGCCUUCGGGUUGUAAAGCUCUGUUAAUCGGGACGCGGUACCGGAAUAGAAAGCCACGGCUAACUACGUGCCAGCAGCCGCGGUAAUUC